AUUGAACGCUGGCGGUAUGCUUUACACAUGCAAGUCGAACGGUAACAGGUUAAGCUGACGAGUGGCGAACGGGUGAGUAAUGCAUCGGAACGUGCCCGAUCGUGGGGGAUAACGCAGCGAAAGCUGCGCUAAUACCGCAUACGAUCUGAGGAUGAAAGCGGGGGACCGUAAGGCCUCGCGCGAUCGGAGCGGCCGACGUCAGAUUAGGUAGUUGGUGGGGUAAAGGCUCACCAAGCCGACGAUCUGUAGCUGGUCUGAGAGGACGACCAGCCACACUGGGACUGAGACACGGCCCAGACUCCUACGGGAGGCAGCAGUGGGGAAUUUUGGACAAUGGGCGAAAGCCUGAUCCAGCAAUGCCGCGUGCAGGAAGAAGGCCUUCGGGUUGUAAACUGCUUUUGUACGGAGCGAAAAGGCUCUCUCUAAUACAGGGGGCUCAUGACGGUACCGUAAGAAUAAGCACCGGCUAACUACGUGCCAGCCGCCGCGGUAA
rnacentral:rRNA from 1 species